rnacentral:rRNA from 1 species
AUUGAACGCUGGCGGCAUGCCUUACACAUGCAAGUCGAACGGUAACGGGACUUCGGGUGUCGACGAGUGGCGGAGGGGGGCGUAAUACAUCGAAACGGGUCAGAUCGCGGGGGGAAAGGGGGAGAAAGCGUUGCUAAUACCGCAUACGAGCUACGGAUGAAAGCCGGAGGGUGCAAGGGCUUACGCGGGCGGUGCGGCCGAUGGCAGAUUAGGUAGUUGGUGGGUUAAAAGCUUACCAAGCCGACGAUCUGUAGCUGGUCUGAGAGGAUGAUCAGCCACACUGGAACUGAGACACGGCCCAGACUCCUACGGGAGGCAGCAGUGGGGAAUUUUGGACAAUGGGCGCAAGCCUGAUCCAGCCAUGCCGCGUGCAUGAUGAAGGCCUUCGGGUUGUAAACUGCUUUUGUACGGAACGAAAAGCCUUCUUAGAAAACAGGAGGGUCAUGACGGUACCGUAAGAAUAAGCACCGGCUAACUACGUG